rnacentral:siRNA from 1 species
UGUGGUCAUUUCCGGCAGUGAU